GACGAACGCUGGCGGCGUGCUUAACACAUGCAAGUCGAACGGUAAGGCCCUUCGGGGUACACGAGUGGCGAACGGGUGAGUAACACGUGGGUGAUCUGCCCUGCACUUCGGGAUAAGCCUGGGAAACUGGGUCUAAUACCGGAUAGGACCACUGCCUGCAUGGGUGGUGGUGGAAAGCUUUUGCGGUGUGGGAUGGGCCCGCGGCCUAUCAGCUUGUUGGUGGGGUGAUGGCCUACCAAGGCGACGACGGGUAGCCGGCCUGAGAGGGUGACCGGCCACAAGGGGACUGAGAUACGUCCCAGACGCCUACGGGAGGCAGCAGUGGGGAAUAUUGCACAAUGGGCGCAAGCCUGAUGCAGCGACGCCGCGUGAGGGAUGACGUCCUUCGGGUUGUAAACCUCUUUCAGCACCGACGAAGCGCAAGUGACGGUAGGUGCAGAAGAAGGACCGGCCAACUACGUGCCAGCAGCCGCCGCAG
rnacentral:rRNA from 1 species